GCUGGGUGCAUUGGCGCAUGCCUGUAAUCCCAGUGACUCAGGAAGCUGAGGCAGGAGAAUCACAAGUUCAAGACCAGCCUCAGCAAAUUAGCAAGGUUCUAAGUAACUUAGCGAGACCCUGUCUCUA
rnacentral:sRNA from 1 species